GAUUCUUCUUUUCUUAAUAAAGUGUUUUGUGUUAAAUAUCAGUUUGUCCUUGACUAUGUACUUCUAUUAUGUCGUUUCAUUACCUUGGUUGGCAAAACAUGAGAAAGGAAAUGAAAAGGAGAGAAAAGAUUCAGUUCUUAUUGCCAAGGAUGGAGAUAUGUGAUACAAUAAGCCCAUAUGGAGUUGAAUGGAGGAGGAGAUUAUGCGGACAAGUAGGUGACCACGGUUCUUCCAAUAUGGCAUGUAGAUUUUGAGAGGUUAGAGAUAGCCAGCAUUUGCUUCGGGGAAGGGGAGGUAGUCCCACAAGCUAUUGACCAUCUAUGAUAUGCUCAGGGUGCAGGAAUUGGGUACAAAAGUGGCACAUCACUUUGUCAGGCAUGCCAACCAAAUUUCUGGUCGGUCAAAUGUGGAUAGAAUUUAACACAUUUCUCAAUUUCCUGAAAUCAAAGACAUUGUUAAGAUAUCCUUGUUUCUUCCUUGGCUAAAUGUUUCUUUGUGGCAUUUGUGUAUCAAUAGUAGACCAAUGUGCAUAAUCUGAUAAAUGUGAGUUGUAAGAUGGUAUGAAUGUUGCCUCUUGGCUUGGG